GAUACUCUGUGCAGAUUCUGGUAUCAGAAAGACAUGGGUUUGAAUUUGCCACUUACAAGCAACUACAAUCUAAAUACUUGGAUAACCUCAAGUUUCAAAGAAAUAACUAUAAAGAAGUUGAGAAUCCAAGUAUUUGGGAAUAGAGACUGUAUUAAAAUGAGGGAACCACACAACUUGUCCAGGCAAGUGAUAACUACUUGCCUGAGCUGUCCCACAGUAGGAGGUCCCGAUAAGGAACACUAGCCAUGAGAAUUUGGGAGAGGCCAAAAGAAGGGGAUGACCAACCUUCCAGAGUCCUUUUCGCUGAUCCAUCUUGGCUGAGAGACGCGUGUGCCACCAGGAAGUCAGACAUGAGCCAAGCAAGAUGACCAGCCAGAGACAAUUCAGAAAGUAACCCCAUUGCUAUAAAACCUGAGACUGUGUGCCACAUGGCAGAGUCGUUCUCCUGGAUUCCCUUGCCUUACUGUUCUUUGCACAGGCGCCCCUUCCCAAUAAAAGUCUUCUGUUUUAUCAGCA